rnacentral:rRNA from 1 species
UACGUAGGGUGCGAGCGUUAAUCGGAAUUACUGGGCGUAAAGCGUGCGCAGGCGGUUCGUUAAGUCAGAUGUGAAAGCCCCGGGCUCAACCUGGGAACUGCAUUUGAAACUGGCGGGCUUGAGUGCGGCAGAGGGGGGUGGAAUUCCGCGUGUAGCAGUGAAAUGCGUAGAGAUGCGGAGGAACACCGAUGGCGAAGGCAGCCCCCUGGGCCGACACUGACGCUCAGGCACGAAAGCGUGGGGAGCAAACAGG